rnacentral:rRNA from 1 species
CACGUAGUUAGCCGGAGCUUCCUCCCCUGCUACCGUCAUCAUCUUCACAGAGGACAGAGGUUUACAAUCCGAAAACCGUCUUCCCUCACGCGGCGUUGCUGGUUCAGGGUUUCCCCCAUUGACCAAUAUCCCUUACUGCUGCCUCCCGUAGGAGUCUGGGCCGUGUCUCAGUCCCAAUGUGGCCGUCCAACCUCUCAGUCCGGCUACCGAUCGUCGGCUUGGUGGGCCGUUACCCCACCAACUACCUAAUCGGACGCGAGCCCAUCUUUCAGCGGAUUGCUCCUUUGAUUAUCCUACCAUGCGAUAAGAUAAUGUCAUGCGGUAUUAGCGUUCGUUUCCAAACGUUAUCCCCCUCUGAAAGGCAGGUUGCUCACGCGUUACUCACCCGUCCGCCACUAAGAUAUCCAAGAUUCAUUACCGAAGUACUUCAUCAGCGAAUAUCUCCGUUCGACUUACAUGUAUUAGGCACGCCGCCAGCGUUCUCCUGAGCCAGGAUCAAACUACU